rnacentral:rRNA from 1 species
CCUACGGGAGGCAGCAGUAGGGAAUCUUCGGCAAUGGACGAAAGUCUGACCGAGCAACGCCGCGUGAGUGAUGAAGGUUUUCGGAUCGUAAAACUCUGUUGCCAGGGAAGAAUGGCUGGGAGAGUAACUGCUCUUGGUUAGACGGUACCUGAGAAGAAGCCCCGGCUAACUACGUGCCAGCAGCCGCGGUAAU